GUGUAGAACAUGCUCUCUGGAGACUGUUUGUAACAGUGCUCACAAAAGUAAACAAACAGGAAGCAGCUCCAUUUUUUGGGGCCCCUUACACAGCUCAAUGUCUGGGCCCCCAUGGCCUGACCGUGAUUAUGCCUACAAGGCCCACCCAUAAGUCCACCUACAUGGCCCACGCAUGAGUUCGCUCACAGGGAGUGAAGUGGAGUGUAUGUGUGUAGGGGAUGUGUUGUGUGUUAUUGUAAAGGAUGUAAUGUGUGUGUGUGUGUGUGUGUUCUUAUGGAAUGUGGUGUAUAGGGAUACCAAUUUGUGUAAGGGAUGUAGUGUGAGUGUGUGUAUAGGGGAUGCAGUGUAUGUUUGUGCGUAAGGAAUGCAUUGUGUGAAUCUGUGUUUGUAUGUGUAAGGAAUGCAAGGUCUGUUUCUGUGUAUGUAAUGUAAUGCAGUGUAUGCGUCUUUAA